GCGCGAAACCUCCGCAAUGUGAGAAAUCGCGACGGGGGGAUCCCAAGUGCCAUUCUUAACGGGAUGGCUUUUCUUAAGUGUAAAAAGCUUUUGGAAUAAGAGCUGGGCAAGACCGGUGCCAGCCGCCGCGGUAACACCGGCAGCUCUAGUGGUAGCUGUUUUUAUUGGGCCUAAAGCGUUCGUAGCCGGUUUGAUAAGUCACUGGUGAAAUCCUGUAGCUUAACUGUGGGAAUUGCUGGUGAUACUGUUGAACUUGAGGUCGGGAGAGGUUAGCGGUACUCCCAGGGUAGAGGUGAAAUUCUGUAAUCCUGGGAGGACCACCUGUGGCGAAGGCGGCUAACUGGAACGAACCUGACGGUGAGGGACGAAAGCUAGGGGCGCGAACCGGAUUAGAUACCCGGGUAGUCCUAGCCGUAAACGAUGCGGACUUGGUGUUGGGAUGGCUUUGAGCCGCUCCGGUGCCGAAGGGAAGCUGUUAAGUCCGCCGCCUGGGAAGUACGGUCGCAAGACUGAAACUUAAAGGAAUUGGCGGGGGAGCGACCACAACGCGUGGAG
rnacentral:rRNA from 1 species